UACGUUGACCGUAUAAAAGCCAACUCCACCCACUACAAUCUCUCAUUUGGCUAAGGCUUAGGUAAGUCUGAGGAAGUGGUGUGUAGUGAGUGCUUGAUGAAUGCUUACAGGUCUACACAUGACUUUGGCCUGAUGUUUUGAGUUCACUGCUGUGUCUGAUGACCAAUGACUCGGAUAAUCCACAUAAAGGUGAGCAAUCUGCAUCAGUGGUCUCACUGGUGCUGAUUGGGGGAUCGUGCUAACCUUGAGGGGUUCUAAAAGAGCACUUGCAACACUAAUGGCAGCUGCCCUUCAACCAGGGGUGCAGGCUCAAUGUCCAAAUGUGGAAGAUGGUGGUAGAUGCCUCACUGGAUCCA